UGAUAAUGGCCUUCAGAAACCUCUGC
rnacentral:piRNA from 1 species